rnacentral:rRNA from 1 species
UACGUAGGGGGCGAGCGUUGUCCGGAAUUAUUGGGCGUAAAGAGCGCGCAGGCGGUUUGUUAAGUCUACCGUGAAAGCUUACGGCUCAACCGUAACGGGUCGGUGGAUACUGGCAGACUUGAGGGCAGGAGAGGAAAGUGGAAUUCCCAGUGUAGCGGUGAAAUGCGUAGAGAUUGGGAGGAACACCAGUGGCGAAGGCGACUUUCUGGACUGCAACUGACGCUGAGGCGCGAAAGCUGGGGGAGUGAACGGG